UACGGAAGGCAGCAGUGGGGAAUAUUGCACAAUGGGCGCAAGCCUGAUGCAGCCAUGCCGCGUGUAUGAAGAAGGCCUUCGGGUUGUAAAGUACUUUCAGUCGUGAGGAAGGUGUUAAGGUUAAUAACCUUAGCAAUUGACGUUAGCGACAGAAGAAGCACCGGCUAACUCCGUGCCAGCAGCCGCGGUAAUACGGAGGGUGCGAGCGUUAAUCGGAAUUACUGGGCGUAAAGGGCACGCAGGCGGUUAAUUAAGUUGGAUGUGAAAUCCCCGGGCUUAACCUGGGAAUGGCAUUCAAGACUGGUUAGCUAGAGUCUUGUAGAGGGGGUAGAAUUCCAUGUGUAGCGGUGAAAUGCGUAGAGAUGUGGAGGAAUACCGGGUGGCGAAGGCGGCCCCUGGGACAAGACUGACGCUCAUGUGCGAAAGCGUGGGGAGCAAACAGGGAUUAGAUACC
rnacentral:rRNA from 1 species